UAGCGGUGCACAUUGUUUUUUUUUUUUUAUUUUUCUUCAGUGACACGUCAAAGUCAAAUGGCAUCGCGCAGUCACAGUGUAAAUUGUAAAUGCAAUUGUAAAUAACAAUGAAACAAGUGUUUAUAAAAGAGCGUUUGCUGCACAGGCAAACUGUGAAGUGUUCGAUUUUUAAGAGUGAAUAUAAAUAUUCAGCAUGCCGGCUAAUUUAUACCAAAAUCUCAAAUUCACUUGUUGCGCACGCAUGACACACACACUCAUGCGCAUGUAUUGUUAAUUCCUUUUCCAUUGAUGAUGUAUUCUAAACGUAAAUU